UACAAGGCAUUGGAUUAUCAUGGCUUUGGUC
rnacentral:piRNA from 1 species